CAAAUUAGAGCCCCCGACUAUGCCUAUGACCUGCAGGGGAAUAUGAGGGUGCAGGAUAUACAAAAAUAUGGGUAUAAUUUUGGUUUAUAAGCUUUGAAUGAGAGGGUGAAAAAAUCAUUCAUUUCAAUACACUGAUCCGUAUACGCACGCGUUACGCGUUCAAUUUUUUGAACCAGUUUGUGGAAAAUUGGGGAAAACCCUUGGGAAAAACGUUCAUAUUUUCAAUUUAUCACCUGAAUCCAGUUAGUUACCCUUUAUAUAGUAAUUGAAAAUAUUUUGUAAAUUUAUAUCCAGCCCAGUCGUUCCAUAUUUAGGCACAUUUCCACGGUACUAAAGUAUCAAAUUUUCCGGGAAAAUCGAGAAUUGAUUUUCCGGAAAAUACCUCAGUGACAAUGUUUGAGAUCAUUUAAACCUUUCUGAGUAGAAAAAAGUAUAUGUCACCGCUUUAAAUUUCUUGAAAAUAACGUAAAUACCUAAUUGGUGGAAAAAAUUUCCCGACUUUGCUUGUUUCGCCGAAGUAAGCUGGAAAAACGAGGGAAAAUUCUGGAAAAGUUUUUUCCACGAUUUGAAGGAAACAUGAUCCCUCGUAGCGUGAAAGGUUUUAUAUGACCCAAUUCGGUCAGGUUUAAGCAGCCCAAUGGUCUAAAGUCAGCAUAACGCCUUCGCUCCCAUACAAAUUUCAAAUCGCUCAAACCCAUUAGACGAUCGCCUUAA